GCCUACAUGAAGUCGGAAUUGCUAGUAAUCGUGGAUCAGCAUGCCACGGUGAAUACGUUCCCGGGCCUUGUACACACCGCCCGUCAAACCAUGAGAGUUGGCAACACCCGAAGCCUGUAGCUUAACCGCAAGGAUGGCGCAGUCGAAGGUGGGGUCGAUGAUUAGGGUUAAGUCGUAACAAGGUACC
rnacentral:rRNA from 1 species